UACGGAGGAUGCGAGCGUUAUCCGGAUUUAUUGGGUUUAAAGGGUGCGUAGGCGGCUUAGUAAGUCAGCGGUGAAAUUUUGCAGCUUAACUGUAACAGUGCCGUUGAUACUGCCAGGCUAGGAUUUGGUUGCUGUGGGUGGAAUGUGUGGUGUAGCGGUGAAAUGCUUAGAUAUCACACAGAAUAUCGAUUGCGAAGGCAGCUCACAAAGCCAAGAUUGACGCUGAGGCGCGAAAGUGUGGGGAUCAAACA
rnacentral:rRNA from 1 species